AGUUUAAUAGUUAAAUAAGAAUAUAGGUUUGGGACAAGGCCCGUCGGAGUAAAUGA
rnacentral:tRNA from 1 species